GAUGAAGAACGUAGCGAAAUGCGAUACGUAAUGUGAAUUGCAGAUUUCAGUGAAUCAUCGAAUCUUUGAACGCACAUUGCGCCCGCUAGUAUUCUGGCGGGCAUGCCUGUUCGAGCGUCAUUUCAACCAUCAAGCCCUAGGCUUGCGUUGGAGCCCUGCGGCUGCCGCAGGCUCCCAAAUCCAGUGGCGGGCUCGUCGUCGUACCGAGUGCAGUAAACAACCUCGCUCAGGGAACGUGACGGGUUCUUGCCGUGAAACCCCCCACAUAUCAAGGUUGACCUCGGAUCAGGUAGGAAUACCCGCUGAACUUAAGCAUAUCAAUAAGCGGAGGA
rnacentral:misc_RNA from 1 species